CCCUAGUACGGCGAGUGAAGCGGGAAGAGCUCAAAUUUGAAAUCUGGCAGUCUUCGAUUGUCCGAGUUGUAAUCUAUAGAGGCGUUUUCCGUGCCGGACCGUGUCCAAGUCUCCUGGAAAGGAGUAUCAAAGAGGGUGAUAAUCCCGUACUUAACACGACCACCGGUGCUCUGUGAUACGUCUUCUACGAGUCGAGUUGUUUGGGAAUGCAGCUCAAAAUGGGUGGUGAAUUCCAUCUAAAGCUAAAUAUUGGCGAGAGACCGAUAGCGAACAAGUACCGUGAGGGAAAGAUGAAAAGCACUUUGGAAAGAGAGUUAAACAGUACGUGAAAUUGUUGAAAGGGAAACGAUUGAAGUCAGUCGUGUUCUUUGGAUUCAGCCAGUUCUGCUGGUCUACUUCCUUGGAACGGGUCAACAUCAGUUUUGUCCGGUGGAUAAAGGUAGUAGGAAUGUGACUUCUCCGGAAGUGUUAUAGCCUAUUAUCACAUACACUGGGUGAGACUGAGGACUGCAGCUCGCCUUUAUGGCCGGUCUUCGGACACGUUCGAGCUUAGGAUGUUGACAUAAUGGCUUUAAACGACCCGUCUU
rnacentral:rRNA from 1 species